rnacentral:rRNA from 1 species
UACGUAGGGACCGAGCGUUGUCCGGAAUCAUUGGGCGUAAAGAGCGUGUAGGCGGCCACUUAAGUCCUGCGUGAAAUCUUGCGGCUCAACCGCAAGCGGUCGUGGGAAACUGGGUGGCUAGAGUGCGGGAGAGGAGAGUGGAAUUCCUGGUGUAGCGGUGGAAUGCGCAGAUAUCAGGAAGAACACCCGUGGCGAAGGCGGCUCACUGGCUCGUAACUGACGCUCAGGCGCGACAGCGUGGGGGAUCAAACAGG